CCUACGGGAGGCAGCAGUAAGGAAUAUUGGUCAAUGGACGCAAGUCUGAACCAGCCAUGCCGCGUGAAGGAUUAAGGUCCUCUGGAUUGUAAACUUCUUUUAUCUGGGACGAAAAAAGGCUAUUCUUAGUCACUUGACGGUACCAGAUGAAUAAGCACCGGCUAACUCCGUGCCAGCAGCCGCGGUAAUACGGAGGGUGCAAGCGUUAUCCGGAUUCACUGGGUUUAAAGGGUGCGUAGGCGGGCAGGUAAGUCAGUGGUGAAAUCCUGGAGCUUAACUCCAGAACUGCCAUUGAUACUAUCUGUCUUGAAUAUUGUGGAGGUAAGCGGAAUAUGUCAUGUAGCGGUGAAAUGCUUAGAUAUGACAUAGAACACCUAUUGCGAAGGCAGCUUACUACGCAUAUAUUGACGCUGAGGCACGAAAGCGUGGGGAUCAAACAGGAUUAGAUACCCUGGUAGUCCACGCCCUAAACGAUGGAUACUCGACAUACGCGAUACACUGUGUGUGUCUGAGCGAAAGCAUUAAGUAUCCCACCCUGGGAAGUACGACCGCAAGGUUGAAACGUCAAAGAGUAGUAGGACGUUCGAGACGUUAGCCGACGGACGGACACACGGGAGGGUAGGG
rnacentral:rRNA from 1 species